rnacentral:rRNA from 1 species
UACGUGAGGGGCGAACGUUGUUCGGUGUCACUGGGCUUAAAGGGCGCGUAGGUGGCUGUGUAAGUAACGUGUGAAAUACCUCGGCUUACCCGGGGAAUUGCGCGUUAUACUGCAUGGCUUGAGGAUCUCAGGGGAAGGGGGAACUCCAGGUGUAGCGGUGAAAUGCGCAGAUAUCUGGGGGAAGGCCGGCGGCGAAGGCGCCCUUCUGGGAGAUUCCUGACACUGAGGCGCGAAAGCGUGGGGAG